rnacentral:sRNA from 1 species
AGUUUGGCAUCAAUAUGGUGACCUCCCGGGAGCGGAGGACCGCCAGGUUGCCUAAGGAGCGGCGAACCGGCCCAGGUCGGAAACGGAGCAGGUCAAAACUCCCGUGCUGAUCAG